GACGGAGGGUGCAAGCGUUGUUCGGAUUGACUGGGCGUAAAGGGCGUGUAGGCGGUUGGUCAAGUCCGAUGUGAAAGCCCGGGGCUCAGCUUCGGAAGUGCAUCGGAAACUAGCCAGCUGGAGCGCGAUAGAGGAGGGCGGAAUUCCUGGUGUAGCGGUGAAAUGCGUAGAUAUCAGGAGGAACACCGGCGGCGAAGGCGGCCCUCUGGAUCGUUGCUGACGCUGAGACGCGAAAGCGUGGGGAGCGAACAGG
rnacentral:rRNA from 1 species